rnacentral:lncRNA from 1 species
GCUGAGGGCCCGCUGCAGCCUAACCGACAACACCACCAUCGUCGAGAUGGAUCCUGGUAGCUUCAGAACCUUCGACACCAGCUACUACAAGUAUGUCGCGAAGAGGAGAGGGCUGUUCCACUCCGACGCCUCCCUCCUCACGAACAGCGAGACGAAAGCGUAUGUUCAGCGACAUGCUGACGGACUUACCGCGGAGUUCUUCCAAGAUUUCGGCGACUCGAUGAUCAACAUGGGGAAUGUUGCAGUCCUGACAGGCAAUCAGGGUGAGAUCAGGAAGAAAUGCUAUGUGGUUAAUAAAAUUAACUAGCUAUAUAUAUGUAUAUAUAUAUAUAUAUAUAUAUAUAGCUAUAUAUAGGCUUGUAUGUUGAUUCUUUUUGAGUAGGUCAUGGUCAAUUAAUUAAAAAGGAUUUAUGUGUUGUUUAUCAACAUUUUUAAGCGUAAUUUGGGUUAUAAGUCAUCUUCACUUUUUGUAUUUGCUUGUAAUCUCUUUAUUUAUUGUUUCUUUGUUCCUUUAUUGUAAGCAUAUAUGCUGUAAAUGUAAUUAAUUCUUUUCUGAAUAAAUAAUCCUCAUUUAUUUGUGUGUGUAGUAAAUUCAAUGUCUUAAUCCAGGAUACUAGUUCAACAGGUGAAGAGUAGUGAUAGCAUUUGAAAAAAAAAAAAAAGGGUAGUUAAUACUAUAUAUAUAAUAUAUGAUGAUAAUUGCUAGGUUUUUUAACAUUGUGCUCUAACUAUACUUUUCAGGGUAAACUUUGCUUUUCUUCCAUUAUGGUUUAGUGCAUAUUCACUUUACCACCUAAAAUUUGAAAAGUUGAGUUUAACUAUUUUAUAAUUUUAUUUUUGUUUCCCAUCAAAGGUUAAACAAGGCAGAUACUUUUUGUAAGUCCAAGAUAAUAAAUAUCGUAUUUUUUUAUCUUAUAAUAAUCUACACUUCACUACUACGGCUUGAAAAAUUAUUACUAUCUUGUUUUUUUUUUUUUUUUUUUUUUUUUUUUUUUUUUUUUUACUUUUUUUUUUGAGAGAAAGGUAGCAUUCUACCCUCUUCGUUUAUUUCAUUUAGAAAUAAACUUGAUUGGAAAUGUGAAUCAACUAAGAUUCGAACUUAGAUCUCGAGUAUCAACCACCAAGCCUUUUUGCCAUUUGCGCUAGGGACGGUCGGUAUUAUUACUAUCUUGUUAAACAAUAGGUUCAUAGAGUUAAAUAAAAAUAAAAUUAUAAAAUAAUUAAAAAUAAAAUUUGGACCGCAGAAUGACAAAGAGAUAUGCUAAAUCAUAGGAGGGGCAAAUUGAAGUUUACGCUUUUUUUCUAAAAUAUAAUUCCAAAUUAAAAAUUGCUCGACUAAGACCAUAAAUGUGCUAGAAAUUAUCGUAAACUAAACAGUCCAGGUAUUUGUGUUUAGUAGUUUGGUUAGUUUAGAACCUCAAAAGUGUUAUACGAUUUAAUAGCUAGUUACAAUGAAGCACCACAUUUAUUUCCUUUAAAAGGAUACACCAACUUUUUCUUACAACCUCAAAUUUCUAUAAACUCAAAAAGAAUUUAAAUUAUGUUAGAUGGUCAGAUUUGAAAUGUUAGUUAGAAUGAAGGGCAUUUAAGCUCUCCUCAUGCAAAUCCAUUUUCCUGCAAGGGCCUCUCUACAAAAUUUUGCUUGCAAUUCACUAUUGUAGCUAAAAACUUUAGGAUUGGGAGAAUUAUAUUCUCAUCUCUUUUAAGGGGCCUGUUGAUGCCAAAAUUGAAAUUAACAUGCCGACCUGAUCCGCAUAUGAGCUAAUAAGGACACGUGGUACACCAGGAGUUGGCAAUAAGGCGCCUGAAGGUUUUAGGUGGGAACGGUUGAGAAGUGGGCAUAACUUCCACGAUGGAGCAUAACUUCCAUAAAAAGUGGGCGUAACUUCCACGAUCAUGAUUACAAUCACUCCCCCCGCUACUUUCAACCAACCAAUAAUGUGGGCUUAAAGAUAUUAUAAAUAGUAACUUUGAAGCCUGCAAUAGGGGUCUUUCUCUACUCUGAACGAGAAGACCACCGCAUUUUCAUAUCUUUCAUUUCCUGCAUUUACUGCUUUCCUAGGAGUAGUUUUUAAGUUAGAUCUCUAGAGUCUAUAUGCCCCACGGGCACACUCUGUUGUAAACUAUAUUUUUGGAGUCUGUCUGCCCCAUGGGCAUCACUCCAACCCUAGAGUCUGUCUGCCCCACGGGCAUCACUCUGUUGUAAAAUACAUAUUUGCAGAGUCUGUAUGCCCUUCGGGCACACUCUGUUUUAUUAAUAUAUAUAUAUAUAUAUAUAUAUAUAUAUAUAUAUAUAUAUAUAUAAUAGAUUAGAGUAUAUGAUAGUAUAUAGUAUUUCGGCUCUUUCCAGCGAUCAGUUACUAUGUACUUCUUCCAUUCGCUCUUCUGGCCGACAAUUGAUGCCCUGCCAGCCGAAAAUCUUGGUGUUCUUAGCAUUCGGUCUUCGCCGAUUUCAAUUCUUACUUUGUCCAUACAUUCGCUCAUUCGAGCCCGAAUCGAAUUUUGCUGUACUGAGGUUUCGAAACCCUGCUGAUCCGAUCCCGUCGUCAGCCGAAUUCGCUUGAAUCAUUCGAAGGAGCGCAAAUUUCGAGGUGUCCAGUAUCCUAAGACCGUUUCCAUCCCGACACCCCCGAGGAGACUUUAACCAGGUCAAUGGUCAGAAACUUCGCUACUAACAUUGUAUUGGCUACGCUCGGUGACUCGAUUUUACGGUAAAUUCACAUUUUUAUUAGAAAAUUAUGGCUGAUAACUAAUGGCCAUGAAUUUGUGCAAUAGUUGUUCCUAGAAAUUCUGGGAAGUAGAUCAACCUAGUGCAUUCAGACAAUGCUUGUCGAAUGUUAAACAGUGUUGCUAGUUUGAAGGAAGAAACUAAAAUUGGACAGUCGGCUUAUCAAGAGCGCGAGUCUAAAUCUCAGGGCACUGGCGGCCAGAUGAAGUUAGUCCUGCAAACUUUAGAUCAAAAAUAUCCACAAAGUACGCUCGACUAUAACGCGGUGCUGCCGAUAUCACGGCCAUAAUGAAAAUAAUUGUUCGAAUCGACAAUUAAUUACCCCGAUAACGAGCAAUCCUUAUUGGGGCGCAAAAGGGCCCCUAAAUGUGCCGGUGCAACAAAAAUCUCCGUCACGCCGCCGGCGUCUCCACAGGUGCAACCGGCAAAUGUCACCUUUUCCAGACUGCUUAUAGCCGCGAAUAUCAACACCCGCGCCCGCAGUCUGAGAUUGCAUCAGGUUUACCUCCUUUACCAGUUUAUCAGUCUCAAAAUGUGGGAAUUAGAGCUGGGGGGCAGGCUCUGAAUAUGCAAGGAGUUAACCCUGUUAUACCGAAUUUCGGUCUACCGCAAGGACCGAAUGUAGUACAAACACAGAUUCCUUUGCAGGGGAACAAUAAUGAAAUAUACGCACAAAUUGAAGAAACCAUCCAAAAUACUUUCGGAAUUGGCGCAAGGCCGGCAGUGCGCCUGUAUUUCGUUCCCCUUAUCCCGCGAGCAUAGACGUUGAGCAUUUAUACCCAGCAAACUGGAAAAUGCCGAAGUUUGAUAAAUUUUCUGAGGAUGAGACCGAAAACACGGUCGAACAUGUGGCACGGUUCACGGCACAGUGCAGGGAAGCCGCGACAGAUCCAUUUUUAAAAUUAAGAUUGUUUAACACGUCGUUAACUAAAACGGCAUUUACUUGGUAUACAAGUUUAUCAGCCAAUUCCGUCCAAGAUUGGGACGAAUUAUAAAGAAAAUUUCAUGAGCGAUUCUAUAGGUCGGAGCCACAAUUAUCGGUCGCCGACUUGACUUUAUACCGACAAAUGUCGGGUGAAACGGUCAAAGAGUAUUUGAACCGUUUCAAAAUAACCAAAACCCGGUGCUUUAUGAGAAUGCCGGAAUCAGAGUUCGCCAAAAUGGCGUUAAAUGGUCUGCAUUUUAAGAUAAAAGACCAUUUUGAAGAUAACUAUUUUUUUAACCUAUUUGAUCUAGAUGUUCGAGUUGCCCAAUAUGAGCAAUUUCGAAAGAAAAGUGAGGACAAUCGGCUGCAAUGGAGCCGAUAUAAAAUGCAAAGCAAAGUCAAGGAGAAAUCCUUGAUAGAAGAACAUUCGGUUCAAGAAAAGCCAAACCAAUCAAGUAAAAGUAAAGAAUCGGCUGAUGAAGCCGAGGUAUAUACGGCUGGGACGAUAAAGAGCCGUUUUCUUUAAGCCGACCAAGGCCAGCGAAACAAAAGCUUGAGUCUCGGCUGUGUCAUUUGAGCAGUCGAUUUGGCACCAAUAGUCAUCCGAAUGUUCAUUCGAAAGACUAUUGGGUGGGCAUUGUUGAUGCCAAAAUUGAAAUUAACAUGCCGACCUGAUCCACAAAUAAGCCAAUAAGGACACGUGGAACACCAGGAGUCGGCAAUAAGGCGCCUGAAGGUUUUAGACGGGAACGGUUGAGAAGUGGGCAUAACUUCCACGAUGGAGCAUAACUUCCAUGAAGAGUGGGCGUAACUUCCACGAUCAUGGUUACAACCACUUCCCCCGCUACUUUCAACCAACUAAUAAUGUGGGCUUAAAGAUAUUAUAAAUAGUAACUUUGAAGCCUGCAAUAGGGGUCUUUCUCUCUCCUGAACGAGAAGGCCACCGUAUUUUCAUAUCUUUCAUUUUCUGUAUUUACUGCUUUCCUAUGAGUAGUUUGUAAGUUAGAUCUCUAGAGUCUGUAUGCCCCACGGGUACACUCUGUUGUAAACUAUAUUUUUGGAGUCUGUCUGCCCCACGGGCAUCACUCCAACCCUGGAGUCUGUCUGCCCCACGGGCAUCAAUCUGUUGUAAAUUAUAUAUUUGCAGAGUAUGUAUGCCCUUCGGGCACACUCUGUUUUAUUAAUAUAUAUAUAUAUGUAUUCGGCUCUUUCAGCCGACCAGUUACUGUGUACUUCUUUCAUUUGGCUCUUCUGCCGACAUUGAUUCCUGCACAGCCGACAAAUUCUUGUGUUCUUAGUCAUUCGGCUCUUCGGCCGAUUUCAAUUCUUACUUGGUCCAUACAUUCGGCUCAUUCAGCCGAACCGAAUUUGCUGUAGAGGUUUCGAACCCGGCUGAUCCGAUCCCUCGUCAGCCGAAUCGCUUGAUCAAUCGAAUGGCGCAAACUUCGAGGGUCAGUAUCCGAAGCCGUUUCCAUCCCGACACGCUCCCCGAGGAGGACCUUUGAACAGGUCAAGGGUUUGAAAAUUCGGCUACUAACAAUUUUUGGCACGUGGGACUCGAUUUUAAGUAAAUUCACAUUUUUAUUGAAAUUAUGGCUGAUGAUAAUGCCAUGAAUUUGCGCAAUAGGGUUGUUCCUAGAAAUUCUGGGAGUGAUCAACCUAGUGAUUCAGACAAUGCUGUCGAAUGUCAAGCAGUUUUGCCAGUUGAAGGAGAAACUAAUGGACAGUCGGCUUAUCAAGAGCCGAGUCUAACUCAGGCACUCGGCCAGAUGAGUCGAGUCCUGCAAACUUAGAUCAAAAUAUCCAUCAAAGUACCGCUCGACUAGACGCGGUGCUGGCCGCUAUUACGGCCUAUAAUGAAAAUAUUGUUCGAAUCAGACAAUUAUUUACCCGAAACGAGCAACCUUAUGGGGGGCAACAAGGGCCCCUAAAUGUGCCGGUGCAACAAAAUCCCGUCACGCCGGCGGUCUCACAGGUGCAACCGCAAACGUCACCUUUCCAGACUGCUUAUAGGCCGGCGAAUAUCAACACCGGCCCGCAGUCGAAGAUUGCAUCAGGUUUACCUCCUUUACCAGUUUAUCAGUCUCAAAAUGUAGGGAUUAGAGCUGGGGGGCAGGCUCUGAAUAUGCAAGGAGUUAACCCUGUUAUACCGAAUUUCAGUCUACCGCAAGGACCGAAUGUAGUACAAGCACAGAUUCCUUUGCAGGGGAACAAUAAUGAAAUAUACGCACAAAUUGAAGAAACCAUCCAAAAUACUUUCGGAAUUGGCGGAAGGCCGGCAGUGCGGCCUGUAUUUCGUUCCCCUUAUCCCGCGAGCAUAGACGUUGAGCAUUUAUACCCAGCAAACUGAAAAAUACCGAAGUUUGAUAAAUUUUCUGAGGAUGAGACCGAAAACAUGGUCGAACAUGUGGCACGGUUCACGGCACAGUGCAGGGAAGCCGCGACAGAUCCAUUUUUAAAAUUAAGAUUGUUUAACACGUCGUUAACUAAAACGGCGUUUACUUGGUAUACAAGUUUAUCAGCCAAUUCCGUCCAAGAUUGGGACGAAUUAGAAAGAAAAUUUCAUGAGCGAUUCUAUAGGUCGGAGCCACAAUUAUCGAUCGCCGACUUGGCUUUAUACCGACAAAUGUCGGGUGAAACAGUCAAAGAAUAUUUGAACCGUUUCAAAAUAGCCAAAACCCGGUGCUUUAUGAGAAUGCCGGAAUCAGAGUUCGCCAAAAUGGCGUUAAAUGGUCUGCAUUUUAAGAUAAAAGACCAUUUUGAAGAUAAGUAUUUUUCUAACCUAUUUGAUCUAGGUGUUCGAGUUGCCCAAUAUGAGCAAUUUCNNNNNNNNNNNUAGAAGUCUUAUACCGAUGGUUCGAUCCUUAGUUUCAACGGUUUUUUUUAAUUGUGUAUCCCUGGCAAAAGUUCCAAGGAAUAUAACUCCUUAUGAAGUUAUGAGGUAUAUUUAGAACUGAUAAAUAAAAAGAAUUAUCUACCAAAUCUAAAUUAUACUAAGAUCUCCACUGAACGAUAACUUCGUAUCCAUGGUAAGUGGUCCAUGGGUAAAUUUCCCAUAAAAUCAGAAACAUUUUAUCAAACCAGGUGUUUUGGCCAAAAUAGGUUGAUUCUUAUAACAUUGGGAGAAUUUAUGGAUGUUGUUAUUAACUUAAAAUUUAAUGUUGGAAAAAAAAAAAAAAACACACACACACACACAAAAGCCGCUUUACAACUUUACCAAGCUUGAACUCGGUUAUCCGUUCUCUCAAGAAAGGGAUGCGGAUUAUCCAACUUGUACCGGUCGGGUCGGGUCAGAUCGGGUCGAAAACCCAAUAUGUACUGAACUCAAUGAACGGAUUGCCCGUAAAAUGAUGGUCUUAGCUCAUAAAUUAAUUCACUUAUUCAGCUCACUUUAAUAAGAGUUUUUCAGAUUAGCACUCAGAAAUGUAUCAUCUGCGGAACCCUAGUUGCUAAAAUGUUAAAUGCCAAGUAGAGAAACUAAAUUGCGACUUUAGAAUAGUACAGGGACUAUCCAUGCAUUCUACCAUAUUCCUUUCUUCCUCCUAACUUCUACAUAACAACCAAACAAAAAAAAGUAAAAAAAAAAAAAAGUGCCUUUUCUCUUCUAUCUAAUAAUUAAAUUGUAUAAUAAUACUAUAAUAAUAGCAAUAUUUGCAAAACAAUGGAAAAAGUUUUAAAUUCUCUCCCGCCCCUUCUCGCACACUCCUCCCCCAUGCACAUCCCUAUUUAAACAUGCCCCAUCUCCCUCCACCGCACCAAAACAAACACAAUCGACCCCCACAACCCAACUCACACCAAUGUCGUCCUGGUUCCAAUCCCCGGCCCCGGCACCGGUCACCCACCAACCCCGAACCCGACCGCGAACCCGAACCCGUGUUUACGAGACCGUCACGAGCCGCGUGGCCCAGUGCGUGUGCUCCUUCCUCCUCACCCUCCUGCUCAUCGCCGGCGUCAUCGUCUUCGUCCUCUGGCUCAGCCUCCGCCCCCACCGCCCCCGCUUCCACCUCGACGCCUUCUCCGUCCCCGGCCUGGCCCAGCCGGGCGCUCCCCCGGCCUUCCAAUUCAACGUCACGGACCGCAACCCCAACCGCAAGAUUGGCAUCUACUACGACGCCAUGUUCGGCUCCGUUUACUACAACAACCGGCUGGUCGGGUCCGGCCCGGUCCUUUUCCCCUUCUACCAGCCGCCGAAGAACACGACGGUGGUUCAGGGGACGCUGAGACCGGCGGCGCCCGAGGGGGACCCGGUCUGGGCCGGGUUCAUGGCCGACGCAGCACACGGUUCAGUCCAGCUCCGGCUCCAGCUCAACUCGACCAUCCGGUUCAAGGUGGAGACGUGGGACACGCACCACCACCACCUCUACGUCGACUGCGACUUCGUCGCCGGGCCCGACGGGAACCUGCUUCCCCUCUACAAGGGGGAGAGCUGCCCCAUAUAUUUCUAAUUUUAAUAAACCGUGUGUGAAGUUUAUUCUUUUUAAAUUUUAAAUUUUUUCGUUACGUUUUUUUUUUUUUUUCUUUAAUAACUGUUUUUGCAUACAAACGAAUUGGUAUAUAUUCCGUUUCUUCUUUUUUUUUUCUUUUCUUUUCUUUUCUUUUUUUCUUUCCCACCUACCNUUUUGCAUACAAACGAAUUGGUAUAUAUUCCGUUUCUUCUUCUUUUUUUUCUUUUCUUUUCUUUUUUUCUUUCCCACCUCUCUCUCUCUCUCUCUCUCUCUCUCUCUCUCUUCUACUUUGUAAGUACAUUGGCAAGGUUGAUACUAGAUACGUGUUCCUUUAAUUUGAUUGCUUAUUUGUAAGAGUUGAUUUGUUUAUUAGAACACUUCGUUAUAGUAUUGCUGAUGUGCUAACAUCCAUAGCAUGGAUUUACUUCAAUUUACCAUCACAGAGGUGUAGAAUAUUUUUAUUUUAUCAUCUUAUAGUUCAAAAAAUUAUACUUUACUAUCUUAUGAUUUGGUUAUUUUCACUUCUCAACUAUAUGGCUCAAAAAGUUAUACUUAAAUAUUUUAUAAUUUUAGUUUUAUUUCACCACAAGAUCUAUCGUUAAACAAAAUACUAUCAUAUAAUUUGUGCAAAAAUUUACUUUAUUACCAUAUUUGGCAGCAGAUUUUUUCGACGAAAAAGAUAAAGAUAAGAACAACUUUUUAAAUCACAAGAUGGCAAAAUAAAAAUACCCUAAAUGGUAGAAAUUGAAGUUUGUCAAAAAAAAAUUUAUUAAUUCAUGAGCUCAAUGUUAGAAUGUAAUAUGAGCUUACCCACACAAAGAAAACACCCGAACAAUACUGUGGAGGACCCAUCUAAUACCCUUAACAACAUAAGGAUAAUAUAGUGGAGGGGCCAAAAGUACUCUCCUCGCUUCUUUUAACUAGAGGUUUACAUCAACAGCAUGAUAAUAUUUUUUGAAAAAAAAAAAGGAAAAAAAGCUAUUUGUACACUGGAUUUAGGGAUAUACACUUUACACCCUCAAGCACAUAGGAGUGCAAAGAGAGCACUACUCAGAAGUUGAUAGGGGUGGAAACGAGCCGAGCUCGAGCGAGCUUAUAUCAGCUCAAAUUCGGCUUGAAAUUAAUUUCGAGCCUAAAUCUAGGCUCAAGCUCGGCUUGAAAUUAAUUCGAGCCGAGCUCGAGCGAGCCUAAUUUCGAGUCGAGCCAAGCUCGAGCUCUAAACGAGCCGAUUGAAAUUCUCGAUAUUAUAUAAUCAAUAGUUUAAUUUUUAUAGAACAUUAUCUAUAAUUUGAUGCAAUAUGUCCAAUAGUUCAAAAUACAAAAUAAUUGCAAGAAAUGUGAGCUAUGGUGACUGCCUGACUGGGUGAGGGUCUGAAAGAGAGACUGCCUGACUGGGUGAGAGUCUGAGAGAGAGAGAGAGAGAGAGAGAGAGAGAGAGAGGGGGUGGAUUAGGGAUUUGGAAAUUUGAAUGUUAUCAUAUUUUAGGGUUAUGUGCAACAGUAAAAGUCUGAAAGAGAGAAUGUAUUAUGUAAAUUUAGAGUUGGGCUCAAUUGCACGGUUGUACUUGUUGGNNNNNNNUAUAUAUAUAUAUAUAUAUAUAUUUUCGAGCUUUUCGAGCCUAAUUCGAACGAGCCAAGUAAUACUCAAGCUCGACUUGAAAUGAAUUUCGAGCCUUUUAUUUUGUUCAAGCUCGGUUCAUUUAAUUUCGAGUCGAGCUCGAGCGAGCCGAAUAUCGAGCCGAACACGAGUCGAACGCGAACCGGCUCGCUCGUUUGCCAGCCCUAGAAGUUGAUGACCAAAAAGGAGAAAAUUACACUUUGGUCCUAACUAAGAGGCUCGCCAUACUUAAUUCCUCAAAUUUUAAUACAUUAUAAUUUGAGUCCGGCUACUAUGCUAUUAAUAGUACGAAGCACUUGGUGCUACCAAGUUUUCCGCCAUUAGAUCUACCCUUUUGAUCAUUUUCAUCCGUUAAAUCAUACUAUUCAACCAACCACCCACUCAACCCUAGAGGACCCACAUCAUCCUAACUGCACAUCUCUUAAUCCAAUGGCCAAAAACCUGAUAGCACCAAUGACUUUGUGCUAUUAAUAUAUAGUAUAUUUGCCUAGUUCUUAUAAUUUUCAGAUCAAUUUUCUAAAUUAUUACAAUCAAAUCUCACAACUCUUUUUUUUUUUAACUAUAUGAUGAAAAAUUACUAGUAUAGAAGUAAUGUAGCAUUUUAAUUAUUUUUGUAUCAUUAAUUGCUUCUAUAUUAUUAAUUCAUCAAUAUUUUGUCAACGAAAAAGAAUUCUAAGGCUUGAGUGUAACAAUUCAGAAAGUUUGAACUAGAAAUUACAACAAAUUAAAUUUGAGGUCUGAAAGCGUUACGCUGGCCAUAGUUUUGAGGAUCAAAACUGUAGGAAGGGAAGUUGAGCAUGACAAACUCAACCAUACAACAAUGAAGAUUUAAGGUGUUAAAUCAUUCUAUACGAAGAUGCGCAACAGGAAAUCGGAGAGAGGGGGCGGACAACACGUGAGCCAUUGGGAGAGAGAAGGGAUCAAAGGGGCGCGAGAGAAAACGGCAGAGACGGGCGCUGAGAAAGCAACACGUCAGCUACAGUAAAACCCAAGUUUUAAUAUAUCUAUUGAUGAUUGAUACUGGCCGAUCAUACUAUUCUUCCUAUAAGAGUCUUAGGUAAAACCAUGUAAGGACCAUAGUCUACAUCUAUUUGAGAUCUAAAGAUAGUUACUACAGGAAAACAAUUGGAGCUGAGGAUGACAAAUACAAGGUUUACACACUUGCUAAGAAUUCUUUAUUGCAGGAUAUUCACUCCGUGAGAUCCAAUGUUAUCUAUUUUAAAUGUUCCUACAACAAGUUGAAUUUACAACAAGAAUAUAUCUCGAAUAGGAAUUAGUGUGACAGUAAUGCUUAAACAACUAGUUUAGUCAUGCAUACCACAAACAUCAUUUCCUUCCCCAGAAAUAAAGCCCGGAGGCAAUUGCUGAUCCAGUCACUGCAAGUCCUAAAGAUGUUAGGAUUUUUGCCCUAGAGAUACCUGAACUUCUAGUAGGAAUUUCAAGCAGAUCCUUCACCUGCAGCAAGGGGCAAGAACUAAAGAACAUCACGCAAGCAUGACGGAAAAUUAAACAAGAGAAAACACUUUGACCUCAUUUGGCGUCGUUGCGCUUCUUUUUCUAUCUUUUUAAACACGAUUCUAUAUAAUUGUACCAACAUAUAUACCCUCUUGUGUUGUCAUGAUUUGUUAGCAUGCACUCCAGCCAAGUGAUGGAUGAAUAUAUAUUUAAAUAAAUUUUGUAAGUAAAAACAAGUUCCAAGUAUUUGUUUUUGUGAAACAAACACCUUCGAUGUAAGGAUUGCAUGCAAUCCACCAUCCCCUUCUACACUAUAUCCAGUAGAAAUUCUUUUUUUAAAAAAAAAAAAAGUAAAGAAAAACAACAAUACCAAACAAGGCCUUUAAUUUUUGCUUUUUCUUUUUUGUUUCCCAAAAAAACACAUAAUUCGCAAUUAUUUGAUGCACAUGAUAAAAUGACUAGCAAAGGUUUUCCGAAAUGGACAAACUAUUUUAUUUUACAAUUUCACAAUCGAUUUUAAUAGAAAGGGGAAUCAGUAGAGCUAUGCAGGCUGCUUCAUGGACUCUUUGGAAAAACUGAUAUGAUAAGAUCAAAAUGUCAAUUUGCCUCCACAACAUCUAAAGGUAAUUAAGGUAUGAGAGUAAAUUUUUAUGUGGGUAAGGUAGAAUUACACUAGCUAUGAUGACAUAACUUUUAGUACUACGUAACUUCAGAUUUUUUAUGCUUCCACAAGAAAAAAUUAGGACAAACUAAAUAUAUUGUUGAGAGCACACUUAUUAAAGAUAUCAAAUUUCGCAUUUUAGAAAAUAAAAAUUGAGGAAUUGCAAAGCAGCAAAUAGUUCAGAUCUUUGGAUUCACUAGAAAAUUUAUCUACACCUAAUAAUAUGCAAUUAUUAUUCACAAAAAAAACAAAAAGUUUGCAAAACGUUAACAAACCUUGAUAGGCUGUUUCCAGUAUUUCUUUAUUCCUGGUAAAUGCCCUUUUCCAACAACAGCAACAACUGAAGAAUGUUCGCUAGCAACCUUCAGUAACUUAGACGACAUGUACCUACAUGUUCAAUAGAAUUAGAAAAGGUCGCUGCACACAUCUAGAUUAUUGUUAGAAACCUUUUUAGUAACUAUCCCUAUGCCUCAAGACAAUUCCUACUUUUAUCCAUAUAAAUUCCAAAGAGAUCCAUCAAAACAACUUUUCUUUUGCUCACUAAUGGGACUGUUGAAAGUAGAAUAGUUGUGUCUGUUCAUUCACAUAUUUAGCCUUGCUUUCUAUGACUUGCUGUCAACUUAGGGCCCGCUUGGACGGUGGGACAAUUAUUCAACGAUAACUCGAGUAUGGGAACUUUCUUUUACGCUUUCAACCUAGGAGUUAAAUUCAUCAUCACCAUCAUCAUUUUCACAACAAUAUAUUCAGCCUACAAGGUGAUAUAUUAUAUCCCAGAAAAAGACUUGAAAGCCAUAUAAACUAAGUGCUUAGACAUAUUUCAUACUCACCAUCAACAAAUGAGAAUAGGCUCAAGUAAACAAAAGGGACAUGCUGAGCAAGAUGGCCGUGCACCCAAACAAACCCUAGUCUUGAAGAUUCUUUCUUUUAAAUUCAAGCAUUCAGAAUAAAUUAAUGUGAAGAAAAAAAACUUUUUCAUGUUAAUUGGCUUAGCAUGCAAAAUUAAAAUCAAAGGUAAGUAAAGCUGAACUAGCAGUUAAAGUUAGCAACAAGAGGCAAUAGCCUCUAAUCAUGCAGCCCAAAAUAUUUAGGUCAGCAACAGUACUACGCUGGUCCUUGCACGCUCAAGCGUAGAGGCAAUUUCCCACUUUUUUUCGAAAAGAGGCAAUUCAGGUGCAGGAAACUCUUCCCAGUUAAAACAGGUUUAUGCAUAUUCUUAUUUCUAAUACACAUCCAUAUGGUACUUUGGAGCCACAAGAGCAAAUACAUUGUUGCAAAACCUUCGUGUUUGUACUUUGUAACUGAGAUACAUUCCGAUGGCCUAACAUGAUAGUUAUUCCUGAGUAUGCCUAAUAAAUACUAUAAGCAACUAGACCAUAGGGUCCUUUGACCAUGCCAUAUGUCAUAACAGCCAGUAAAACUAAACAAAAGCUUAUCCUAACAACCAAUUCAUUUAGUAAAUAGGAAGACAGAAUAAGAUUGACCAGACUCGACUUGAUCUAACCAUCCUAACUGACUGAGCCGCCAAUAUUUAAAAGCCCCAAACUUAUUCUUACAUAAUAGUUAAAGUAGACCUUGAAUAAGUCUGCCUAUUCCCAGCUAUGAACAAGAGCAGAACUAAUAUCAGGCGAAGAAAAUCUGGUUUGCAAGUGCAUAGAGUUGAUCCAAAUAACUUUUCAACAAUUUGUAUAAAGAGCACAGACAUUUUGAUUUAACUCGAUAAUUAAUAUCAAAUCUAUUAUCUCUUGCAUCAUCAAGCAUUUCAAGUAACAAAAGGCAAAUGCAAUGGAUACAACAAAUAAGUCAUUUAUUCAGCCAUGAUUGAGAAAGUUUGGAAGUGAAAAAGAGGUAUUAGAAUUCACUAACAUGUCACGCUCAUGAAGAAGUGUUUCCAUCAAAGUCGGAAAUUCCUUGCUCAUCUCUUGAAUCACAAUAGUAAGAAUGUCAACAUCAUCCAUUUCCUUCAACUGAAAUACAUGAAUCCUAAUUAAAUGCUCGUAAUUAUUCAAAAGUUUAAAGAGUCUACUUAUAUAUGAAUUCAACACUCGAGCCAUUAUCAGGAAUUUGCUAGCAAGAACACCAUGAAAUAAUUCAAAAUCAUUUGCAACAGGGAAGAAUAAAUAGAAAAAUUCACAAUUAAACAGUAGGGUUGAAUUUGAGUUGUUUUUAUCAUACAGCAGUGAAACCUCUAUCCACCAUCUAGAGUGCUCAAGAACAUCACACUGGCAACUACAGAGUUGCACAAUUCUUCAUGGAACCAAUAUAUUAAUUCUAGAAGCUACUGAAAUUUCUUGGUAAAUAUUGAAGACAAGAAUGUAGAAUAUAGCAAGUGUAAAAGAUCCCAAAAUAUGGGCCAAUACAAAGGGAUCAGGAUGCUUCUUUUGUUUGGCAAUGAAGAUGAUGCAGCACAAAAAUUAGCCAUCCCUUACUCUUUUUUUUACCUUCAUUUAGAUUUUUUUUUUCACUAGCAAAUGUAGGGUUUAAUUUGAGAUGUUUAAUUGGUACUUAGUUCGUUUCUGGAGUGCCGUUCUGAACUCGUGAUGAUGCGCGAGAGAUUUGACAAGAUUUCUGUGUUCUUAGUAAUUAAAGGACCACCUAUUUCCUAUUAAACUUCUAGUUGAACAAUACUUUGAGGGUUCAAUUAAUAUAUCUUUUUGUUGGAUGGAAAUUGAUAUAUUAUUGAGCUUUUCCGCCGCUGGGAUUUCCCCUUCUUCUUGGAGUUAUCCUUGCCAUGGGUGAUUUUUUUUCCUCUCUUCUAGCCUUGGGAUUGGGCCAUUCUCUUCUUCUUGCUGUCCCUGGAUCGAACAUUUGCUCCUUUCUUCUCCUGCUGCCCUGGAUUGGGCUUCCUUCCCCUUCACACCUUCCUCUUGCUGCCGUUACCCUGCUGCUGUCCCUGCAGCUGUUAUUCUCAAUUUCAACUGCUGUUAGAGGCCAGUUGAAGAUCUUCUCGGUUGGAAUUGAUCCAGACAGAACCUUUUUCCAUCGCAACUUCAGUAUUAUUAAUGCUCUGUAGUUUUGUGACAAUAAAAGAAGUCGUGAGGGCUCCUAGCAUAUGCAUAGGUUUUUUCUUCCUAUUUUUCCUUCAAUUUGUAUCAGCUUUAUGUCAGAACAUUUGAUAUUAUAUCAAUGACAUAAUGGAGCUAUUAUAUUUCCAACUGCAUCAGAAGAUAUCACAUUUAAAAGCCAAAGCAGUGAAAACUUCUUGCAUCAUAACUUGGCAAUUGCUGCAAUGAAGCCUCUCUUAUUACUUUAUUUUCUGGAAGACCCUCAUCCGAUCUACUGUUUUUACCAUUCCACUAGUUUAGUCCCUUUCUUGAAACUUGGCAUCAUUUUCCAGCCAUCAUGCAAUGUAAACAAUUUGAAGUCUUGGAUAGUAGUAACAGAGCCAGAUAGAAGAUACGACCCAAAACCUUACAAUGGGCACUCAUAGCCGACAUGCAACCACCCUUUUCAACAUAUUUUGCCUUCAUGGAGGGGGGGAGGAAAAAAAGAAUGUAAGGCAACAUAUAUAAGGCCUAAAGGUUCCAGAUAUCCAAGUAGAAAUAUUCAGCAUCUUUAAUAGCAAUUCAAAUACCAUCUUCUAAAAGUAUAGAACAGACGUAUAGUCCCUGAAACUAUUCCAAAACAGAGACUUGGUCCCUGUAUUUAAACAAUUUAGUACUUGAACUUUCAACUACUUUGUUUUCUAGUCCCUGACCGUUAAAUGAGAUAAAUCAAACUUUUCCUAGAAAACGAUCUUCUUAAUUUUAUUUGUACUAAACUAAUAAAAAUAAGCCAUUCUAAUGAGAAGGGAUAAAAUGAUUGAGUCACCCCCCAAAAAAAAUGACAGUUAGGAACAAAGUGUGGAAGUUUGGGAAUUGAAAUGUUUAAAUGAAAAGAUAGUGACUAAGACACAAUAUCAGGGUACUUGCCCUAUCCAAACAUAUUACCCUUUUUAAAACCGCCAUCUUCAAACAAUGUACUAUCAAAGUAAAGCCAUAAUCUAGUAGUUGCAUAGAUUAACAGCUAUUACUUCCAAGAAUACAAGAUGCUGAUUGCCAAGCCACCGAAGAGCAUGAUAGAAAGCAAGCCAUCCAAAAAGAAUGGUUCAGGGUACAAGAAGAAAAGAAUUUAAAAAAAAAAAAGUUAAAAGCAAUUACAAGCAGAGCUUACCAUUCUAGUGAGAUCUUCAGGGCUUGGCAAGAAGAUUGUUUGAAACAGAAUGUAGUAUAGAAAUUUCAGCCUAUGCCACAACGUCAUACUCCCCCAUGUUCUCCUCAGGGUGAUCUGUUAGACGAGGACCAUUUCACAAAAUGUUGAUAGCUUACAGAAAGAUAACAAGCAAUCACAACACAAAAUAUUACCAAAUAUCAGUCCGUAAGAAGAGGUAAAAACCAGUACUAUAACACCAAACUAAGAUUAUUAUCAAAAUAACAUACACCAACAUGAUCAUUCAAGAUACAAAACAAGCCACUAGAAUAAUGAUACUGGCAUCUUCCAUAAAGUUAGUUAGCCGGCUACAUAUGUUAGAACUCUAAGCAGGAAGUUGUUGAUAUCUCGUAGUUGGAUGACUGCAUCUUUAAAUUAGGCUGAUGAGACUACGGAAUAGAUUCAAGUAACAAGAUAGGUAAUUAGAUUUAAUUAACUUGAUAUUUUUUGCUAGCUAAUGAACCUUGAAAGUUGAAACUUUGAAACCCAAUUUGAACACAACCGAAGGAAAAUUAAAACCAGUUUGGCAAGCAAAAUAGCCAGUCUUGACUUUUUCCAAGCUCAAUGCAUUUUCUUGCAACGGGCAACUAUUAAUCCUACUUACGGAAGAAAUUAUAGGCCCUUUCGCAAAUUUUUAUUAUACACGAGUCUAAACAGGACAUUUGAAGUUAUGAAUGUGAAGGGUCCCUUCUCUCUUCGGGGUUGUAUUUCAUUACGAUAGUUUUUUUUUUUAUUAGGAUACAUUUGAAGUUAUGAAUGUGAAGGGUCCCUUCUCUCUUCGGGGUUGUAUUUCAUUACGAUAGUCUUUUUUUUUUAAUUAGGAUUCUAAGUCCUCAUUUUAUAGCAAGGAAACCAUAUUAGAAAGCCACACAUCUCUCCUCUUCCUUGUACUGUUCUCUGGCUAAAAGCCCAGUAUCUCUCACUCUCUCCUUUUAUCUCUUCUUGUUACUCUUAUUUCAUCGCCUACUGACAAACAAUUGCUGCCCCAAACUCCUACUAUGUUCUUACUUUUUGUUGGCUUCUUUUGGAAUCUUAUUUGGACUUUGAAGUUGUGAAAAUGACAAAAGUACAAAAUCCAGUAGGUGGCUUGCAGCGAAAAAAAAAGGCAAUUAAUACGGCUAAUCCUGUUCCAAUAUAUCAUACUUCCAUAUCCCAGUGUUGUCAUGCAGAAAUUCAUAUGUUUGCAUUUAAUUGGUGGUUUGUCAAGCUAUCAUAACAAGGAAACAGGAUGCCUUCUUAUAACCUCCGUAAGUGGCAGUUCCUUCGUCCUAUUUUUUUCACAUCAAUUACUAUAAAAAAAGCUGUAAUUCGAGAAAACCUUCACCGAUAAUCCUAUCAUAUGCCAUUUUUCCUGUUCUGCCGCUCAAAUCCUAUACGUGAAAAAGGGGCUCUCUAAACUAAUCUACUGACUGAAGAACUGAACAUUAUUCUUCUAGUUUGCUAUUACAAAAUUUCAUACUUUUUUAUUUGAAUCGGACAAUUUUGCAGCAAAAUCUUACAGAAUGUUUAAGUUUAACCGCAUAUAUUUUGGUUGACUAUAGGUGAAAAAUAGAACAACAAUGCAUAACAGGGAAAUUUUGAGCUUGCUGCUUGGUCACAGGCCUAUCAUAGUAAUAGCUUGCUGCUUGGUCACAGGCCUAUCAUAAUAAUAGCUUGCUGCUUGGUCACAGGCCUAUCAAGCACUGAAUUUUCAGUUUAGCAAAUCUUCGCUCUAACAUGAUUAUUAAAAAGUAGAUCCAGCAUUGCAAAAAGAGCAAUAAGAGAUCACAGCACCAAAAAAGGCUUCUUAGCAAGGUUUAAAGUGUCGUGGCACGAGAGCGUGCCGCUGUUUGCCUGGCACGGUACAGCAUCGGCACGCUUCCGUGCUGACACAUGAUACGCUUGCGUGCCGAUAGAUACGCAUGACCAAGGAUUCAAGUGCCAUGGCACAGGAGCAUGCCAAAAACUUACCUGCACCGUACGGCAUGGUGCAUACCGAACCGUGCCAAAGCGUGCCGUUCACAAAAAUAUGUGUGCCGACACAUAAUGGCAUAAAAUAUUUAUUUUCUUCAGCAACAAAUUACGCCAAUUAUUUAUAAUAUAUUUUUAUUAAAUAUUUUGAACUUUAUUGAGAAAAUUACUUACUAAUUUCAAGAAUAGAGCGUUUUGAGUUGUGUCAUCGGCACGGGAGUUGUAUCGUACCGAUAUCUUGCUGGCACGAUACGGCAUGGUGGAUAUGGCCCGUGCCGAUGGGUACUUUAAUCCUUGCGCAUGACCUCCUACUAGCACGCUUUGGUACGGACUUAUUUCAGUUUUUUUAGUUCCAGUAAACUCUUACAAUAUUAUUUUAAAAGAUUUAAUCAAAUAAUUAUGAAUAUUUGCUAUGCAUAACUUACUAUACUCAUCAAUUAAUAUACUUUGUAAGUUUUUUUUGCAUGUAAAGUACAACUAUAUCUGAUGCAAAAUAGAAAUUUUUAUAGGUAGAAUUUUUAAAAUGCAAAAACAUCUUUUGUUCUUUCUUUCUUUUGACUAUAUUACAGUCUUUUUUUUAUAAAAUACAAAAAAAAUAAUUUUUAAAAUUAUUUUAAAAAUUAUUUUAAAAAGUAUUUGAAAAAAUUAUUUUUUAAUUAAUAUAUUCAAAAAAUUAGUAGAUCUAUCAAAAAAAAUAAGCGAUAAAUUAUAUGACAAAUAAAUUAAAAGGUAAAAUUCAAAUAUCACCCCUGUGGUUUCACACAUUCUCACUUUAGUACCCUGUGGUUUAAAGUGUAUCAAAUUAGUGUCCUGUGGUUUCAUUUUUAUCUUUUCGUCAUCUUUUCCGUUAAUAUUUCGUUUAAUUAUAAACAAAAAACUUCAGAUACCCCACCUAGGUUUAUCGAAUAUUCACUUUAGUACCCAUUAAUUUUAACUUUGUCAUUGAUUUAACGAAAAAAAUUAGUGGAAUCGAUAAUAAAAAGAUAAAAAUGAAACCACACGGCACUAAAUUGAUACACUUUAAACCACAAGGUACUAAAGUGAGAAAGUGUGAAACCACAGAGGUGAUAUUUGAAGUUUUUCCUAAAUUAAAUAAAUUUAAGUAUCAAUUGAUUUAAGUUAACUUUUAAUUUUAUUAGUAUUUUCAAUCUUCUAACACAAAAAUAAAAUUAUAUAUUUGAUGUGCCUCAAAUUUUGUUUAUUGAGUUUGAUUUUGUUCCCCUAAUUCGGCAAAAGUUUCACGGUGCGACAAUUUUUGAUAAAAUAAUUUGUGAAAAAAAAUGGAUGUCUGUGGUAUGGAUCAAAUAUGUAAAUUAAAAAUUUGGUUGUAUAUUGAUAAACAAAAAAAUUAAAUUAUAAUAUUUUUGACUUGUCUAACAAGUAGAUUUUCCAUUUGCAAUGUCUUUGGGGAGUGUGGACUAUGGAAUACCCAGAAUGUUUCGGGUACCCCAAAAAACAAAACAAAAAGAAAAAAAAAAGAAAAAGUAAAAAAACAAAAGCAAAAAAAAAAGGAAAACAACAGUGCCGACACUGUGCCGCGGCACACUACGCCGUGCCUCUGUCUCGUGCGGCACGACGCCUUGUGCCGCGGCACGAAGGGGGUGUUCGAGACCCCCCGAUACCGUGCCCCCUACGUACCGCCCCGUGCCAUAUGGCACAGGGCGGCACUUUAAACCUUGCUUCUUAGUUAAGCAAUACACAUGCUAACAGUUCAAAUUCGAGUUGCAAUCAAAUUUGAGUCAUUACUUGCUCAAUUGAGUUGAUUUAAUUUUAUUUGAGCCUAUUAGGUUUCUCAUUGGGUUGAUCUUUUUUUAUUUUUAAAGGAUUUUCGAAAUCCAUAUUUUCAGGGUAAAUUCUAGAAUGUCCUAAUUGGACUCCAUUAAGGCUAAUUAGGACCUUUAGGAUGAUUUGGAUCCUAUUAGAUCUUGUUUCCUUAGUAGAGGCCCUAAUAUGGUUUAUUUGGUAUCAAAAGAGUUUUAUUAUGAUAGCAGAUAAGUUAGGAUAAGUAUUGAAGGACUCAAAUUAUCUUUUCGGGCCUGACAUGGUGCUUUUGUUUUACCAUAGUUUAAUCCUCUCUUUUUCUUGCCUUGGAUUAGGCGCCUCUACUUCUCUCUUUUAGCCUUGGCUUGGGCCUUCUCUUCUCUUGUUUUUCGCCGUCCCUAUCCUCUCCUCUCUUCUCCUACUGUCCUGGAUAGGGUUUUCUUCUCCUCUAUGCCUCCUCUUGUUUCCGCUUAUUCUCUGCUAUCCUAUGCUGCUGUUCUUUCAAAUCUAAAGGCUGAUUGACGGUGGUUUUGGGUUGGAAUUGAUCCUGGCUGAACCAUAACUCGUCACAACUUCAAAAUUAUUAUUAUUUAACAAUUUUCUAAUAACAAAAGAAGUCCUGAGCACUCCAAGCAAACCGAUAGGUUCUUUCAUUCCUCGAUUUAUUUAUUGUCUUUUCAGUUUUUAACAGUAUUGCAUAGGAACAUUUAAUUUACAGAGUACUAUUGCUUUCAAUUGAUUUAUUAUAUUUCUGACUGCAUCAAUUUUGGUAUCAGAGCCCCAAAGUGACCCAAUUAAACUUAGGGCUACUACAUCACAAAUACAACCAAAAACAAAAGUAUUUUUCUUACAGAAGAGAGCUUCAUACAUGGACAGGACGAUCGCCAAGAAUAACUUUGCCUCCAUAGCUCAUUGCUUCUUCAAAUGCCACUCGAAACUCGGAACCAGGUAAAACCUCAAGUGUACUGGCAACCUACAAUCAACCAAAUGAAUGUAUCAAAUUGCAAGGUAACAUGAAAGGUAUGAUUUGUUUAGCAAAAUAAGCACAUAAAAGCAUACCUUGGCAAGAAACCAGCUAUAAAGGAUUCCAAAUGUGUUCAUUUUCUUUUUCUUCCACAUGUCAAUCAUUUCACUCACAGUAGGAACCUGACAAAGAGAGAUUUAUCAAUUAAAGACAUACUAUACAUGAAGCAACUAGAAUUCAUAUCUCUAAAAUUUGAGCACCAACGAAAGAAAAUUUAGUGAAAUUACAACCAUCAUCGAUAAAUAAUACAGCCCUUCUCUUGAAUAUCUAAAGAGAAGAUUCUUAUGAGCCAACAAACCGAAGAAAAACAAUGUAUACUUGUAUUUUAAACCUAAAGAUUAUGAACCGACAAAUGUUUAAACCAAAAUAAUCUAAGGAAAUGCCUGAGUUCAAUAGUUAAGAUGGAAAUUCGACAUUCCAAAAACAAAAAAUGAUAGGCAGGACUACUGCCUUUAUGCCGUUUGCCCAGGUCAAAUUAUAUGGUGGAUUUUAUAGAAAGAAUUGUUGUUGUCUUAACAUGCUCAUAGUAUUAAAUGAAUUUAAUUCAACUAAAAGGUAAGCAGCAGAUGUGCCCCUCAUUUUCAAGAUAAUAUUUAGCGAUGCUACUCAGAUAACAUCUAUUAUAUAGCCAAAAAGACAUUCACUGCCAAAAUAAGGGUAGACUGCGCCAGCAGUCCCUGAACUUUCAGUCAAUUUUGACUUUAGCCAUUGAACUUUCUAAGGUAGAAUUCAACACCACAAACUUUUGAAAGUGCUCCACUUUAAUCCUUAUUGUCAUAUUCUAUUAGAGAAUAAAUAAGUGCCUCGAUAUUGAAAUAUGAGAAGGUAUCGAGGGUGGACAGAUGUGUGCCACAUGAACGUACAGCUGCACCAGCUGCAGACAAUAAUUAUCCCUUAAAAAGUAGAUGAGGCCAAGGACUAAAGUGAAACACAUCCAAGAGUUUGGGAUAUGCAAUGUCCAACUUAAAAGUUCGCAGACUAAAAUGAAUCUCCACUAUAGUUCAGAGACUAAUAGUAUAAUUCACAAUGAUUGAAUUCCUAGAAAACCAUCAAGCCAGGCCUUAAAUUAAGUAGUAAGCAACAAAGCUUCAACUUAAUGAAUUCUGGUACAAAAAGGUUUGUUGCAAUAAUUCUUUCGAAGGAAACAGCUACUUCACAGCGCAUACAGGGACACAUAAGUUUUUCUACCAGUAAUAAUCAACACUUCAAAGUUGUCCUUUGAGCCAAUGCCUGCUCAAUGCCAUCUAAUUUUAGCAUUUGCAAACAAAUAGACAAUAUUACUAGCAAAAACUUGCAACAAUGUCCUUUAAAAUUUGGCCAUUAGAUCGAAUUAAAUAGUUGGAGCGAAUUUAUUUUGGCAGGUUUCAUUUUCCGGAUUGGAAGCUUAACUACAGAAAAUAGUAAAAUAAAAAAAAAAAAAAAAAAAGAAGAAGUAGCCUGAACCUGACCAAGUAGUUAUAUGCAUCUAGUUUAGUUACAAUUGAGUUCUAUUUGGUUUAGUUCUAGUUAGAUAUGAAUUUCCUAUUGCCUAUAGAAACUUCCAAAUAAUCUUCAUUGGAAAAUGCUGCCUAUACACACCCUCUUUAGGGAGUAAAUCAUACACACCACCAACCCUAUGGGUGGGGUUUCCCCACUAGUCAAACCAAUAUGACUAGUGGGAAAAUCCCACCCAUAGGAUGGGUGUGGAGUAUAGGAUGGGUGUGGAGUAUAACAAACUGUUAGGUUAGGGCUCAAAUUUAAUUUCAAAAUAAUAGAGCUUAUCCUACAAAAUAGGAUUUGUUUAGAUUUCCACAAAAUGCUUUUAAGAGUGGAAUCUUGUAUCUCAUAUGAAUAGAUUUGUAGCGAUCUCAACCAAUUUUAAGUUGGUGAAUCUUAUCGAAAAAGAUAUGGAUACAAUUUGUUAGAAGGUUGUCUAUCUAGUUAGUACUAUCAGUGUUUGAAAAGGCGCACCUCAACGCCUAGGCAGGAGGCGCGGGCGUCGGCGCCUUAGGGAGCGAGGCGCGCGCCUUAGAUGGGCCCCGUGAUAUUUACGUUUAAUGGGUCUAGGGUUUGGGUUUUCGGGUCUUGGGUUUUUCCAAUAUUCUAAACUAAUUUGAACGCUUUCUUUCCCUUUUUAUUAGCCGUUCUCUCUUCCAGCCCCCAAUGGCAGCAGCAAGAAGUAAGAAGAAACAACAAGCACUUUUAAGUUGAAAGUUGAAACACAAUUUUUUUUUUCUUGUUUUUAGUUUGAGAACAUUAAUACAUAUGGUUUCUUUUCUUUUUUAUACUUAUUUUGUUUCUGUAUGGCUAUUUUAAAAUUUGUUAAUGUAAAACAUCCAUUUAAACUAGGCUUAUCAAGAGUUUUAUUUUCAUUAGAUGUGCGCCUCACCUUCCCAAGGCGUGCGUCUCACGGCGCACCGCAUGCGUCUCACGGCGCACCGCAUGCGUAGGCUCUAGAAGGUCUUUGCGCUUUUUUGCACCUCACAUCUUUUUCAAACACGGGUACUAUUUAUAGGCAAUGAUUCGAUGACCUCUAAUACUCAUGAUGGAUUUCUAAUGAAGGAAAAUUUGUUCCUUAGACCUCUAAUACUCAUGAUGGAUUUCUAGUUAUCCAUCUCAUUUCACAUUUAUUCACAUUUACCAUAGUGUUCCAGUUUGUUUAGUGUAAACUGGAUCAAUAUACAAUGUCGUAUGCAGCAUCAGUACGGUGAUGUUGUAAGCCAAUUUCUCAGGAAUGCGGUACGAGCUACGCAGGGUUAGUCAAAUCAUUCAUAUAUAUCAGGGCAGUAUUAGUUAGAUCAUUCAUUCAAAAUAUGGUUUGUUUCAAGAACGUAAAAACUAAUCCCCACAUAAAUAACAUACAUAUUGUUAUUGUAUAUAUUUUUUUGGUUACUUUCUUUUAGGUUGGAUUGGCUCUCCUAAUCAAAGUUCGCUCUCUUUCUCCUUGCAAAGUAUGAUUCUUUGUUCUAUUCUAUCUUCUAAAACACUUCUCUUUAAAUCUAAAUAGUAUUCUACAAUUCUACUAUCCUCAAACUUCGCCACAUUUUGCAACCUGGAUCAGGAAUCCACCAAAAAGCAGAACACAUGAUUUAGAUCACAGUUUGGAGCAGGUCUCCAAUCCCGAUAACAUUGAGUUUGAUUAUUUCGGCCUACUGCGCAACUCCGUUCUGGGCAAUUGUGCUACAUUUGGUCAGGUAAACAUCAUCAUUGAGGUUGAAUGUAUGGCAUUUGCGCAAAUUCAUAUUGUUUUGGAGAAAAAUUGAGUAAAUACAAACUAGAUGAAUGUGAAUGCUAAUAGAUGCUUGUUUGACAGAUAUAUUCCCUAUAUUUAUAUUGUCCCAAGAAUUUUAAAAAACAUCAAUGUGUCUAAGGAUCAACAUUAUGGUGCAUUGAGUAUACCAAAGACAAAAUUAUAUAACAGUUAAAUUUAGAAGCAACCUCAAUUUAUGUACCUUCUAUUUCAUUUUACUUUUUAUUUUCUUACAGAGCUGUCUCAUAAAUGAUUGUUUGGCCUAACUUCUAGAACAACAACUCAUUUUUAAGAAGCAGCAGCCAAGCAUUUUCACUUUAAGAAGCACUUUCGGCCUCUUUGGCCCUCCUUGUUUUCGGUUUCAGUAGCAACUAUUUGAGCAGGUCAUUAGAAACUAGAAAUAUUUAGAGCAUCUAUUGUAGUAGAGAGCAGAAAUGAAAAGAAGACUCCCCAAUUCAAAGUUUCUCAUUCUAAUGCUUCUCACAACAGCAGUUCUGAGAUUUUGUCAAGCAACAAUACACCCUAUGACAGAAAUGCCUAAGCCCUUUAAGAAGUUGCAGGAAACUCUCUAAGCACUCACUGAAAACAUAAGUUCCAUUUUGUACCUUCCACUUAUGUUGUAGUAGUCAACUGUUUCUACAAUUUUAAUGGAAAAACUACUAAUGCUUCUUCCAACAACUUUACUCAAAUAGCACUUUUAAGAAAGCUUCAUUCAGGUGAAAAUGGCUCUACAUUGAUCGUUAAUAUACCUUGAAUACAUAAGGAACCUCUUCUAUAGUAUCGUCAUUGCAAAAGCAAUAGCUCCUAGCCACUGACGCUAUAUCAAUGCGAAAUAUAAGAGGAGCUAUUAAAGAAGUACUUACCUGAAGAUUCUGCGGUGUCAGAAUGGCAACCCUGCUUGCGCACAAUUCCAAGAAAACAACCUAUAUAUGAAGAGAUGGAAACAGAAUGUUCACAAAAGGAAUCCAUAUAUAUAAAGCUAAGCCAUAGACAAGUGAUUGAUAUGUUUCAAAGAGAGGAGAAGAACCUGCGGUUUCAAGUAAUUGAUUACCGCCUUGACUUCCUUGCAUGAUUCCUACAUUGACAUCAGUAAGAACAAAUUGUCACUCCUUCCCAAAAAUAACCUAUAAAUUGUUCCAACUUAUUAAAUUAUAACCAAAAGAUAAAUAAAGAUCAUGCGUUCUCAUACCAAAAUUCAAAUCUAUUAAAGAUCGAAUAGGGCACAAGAAAAUUGGAUAUGAAAUUGGGAUAACUCCAGAUCAGAGGCAAUGAGAUCACCUGAGACACGUGCGCGGUCCCGACAAGGUAAACGUCGCACGCGCCGCCCUCGGCCGAGGACUCGCACUGCAACAACACGACGCCCUUGGCGAGCUCCUCGGGGAGAUCCCUCCUCCCAUCCGAUCCCCCGCUCGAAGAAGAUGAAGAAGGAGCAAACGACGACGCCACCGCCUCGCCCUCAGAGGCGUCCUCGGCUCCAAGAAGACGAUGGAGCUCGGGAUCCACGUUAGGGUUAGGAUUAGGGGGGGAGGCCUCUCCAACUGCGGCGGCGUGGAAGGCUCCGGCGAGGUCCAUCGCCGGAGGGAGGCGGCGGAGUGGGGAGGAGAAGGGUUUGGGAUGGGAAUGGUGUGGGAUCGAGGAGAAAGGUGCGGCGACGAGGGCUUUUACGGAGGAGAGGAGAGGGACGGGGAGGGGGCGACGGAGCCGGGGAGGGGCCGAGUUGAGGAGGAGGAGGAGGGGCGACUCGGGCGAGUUAGGGAGACGAGUCAAGCGGAGCAUAAAGAAAAUGUGGUGGCUAGUUCGAUUGGUUCCUGGCGUAGAAGGACCAAGCGGUUUAUGCGUCUCACACGAAUCGAAACGCCGGAAAUUCUUGCCUAGAUCGGGUGCACCCGUACAAUCCAAACACCGCAUAUUAUUUUAUUUUAUAAAAUUAUGGCCAAUUUUGCAUAAAAAAUUCACUAAUUUUAAGCUUUUGCAAAAAUAGACCGCUUUUUUAGAUUUUACAGAUUUGAGCCGAAUUUUUAAAAAACUGACCAAAAUAUCUUUAUUCCUUUUUCUCUCUCAUUUUUUUUUCUUUCGUUCUUUUUUUCUUUCUCUCCCAAGAGGGCGGCGAAGGCUGCCAACCUCGCCUCUGUCCGGCUCACCCUCACCUUCGCUCGCGCACCCUCCCGCCUUCCUCACCUCUGACCCCGCUGAGGCUGCGCCGCAAUCCUUUUUUUUUCUUUUCUCUCGAACCCUCCUCCAUCACCUUUCCGGCUCUUUAUGACAGGGUAAUGCUGCAACGUUGUGUCUUCUUAAUCCACCUUUGCCGACACAGGCACCGACUCUGGGUCGAAGAACGGCUCGAAGCGAACGCGGGUGAGAGCGGAACUAAGGAAAAAUAUAAAAAAUAAAUAACAUAAAAAAUAUAUAUAUAAAAUAUAAAAAAAUACUUUUUUCUACCGUAAAAAUAAAGAAUCAAAAAGAAAAGAAGAAAAGAUGAAGAUGCACUGUUUCAGAGGAACGUUGCACUGUUUUCAAGAAAUAUUAUACUUUUCUGAAUGAAUGUUCUACUCUUUAAACGAAACUUACAUUUCUUAGGCGAAAAUGAUGCUAUUUCUCCUCAUCCACACGAAAGCAAAGAAGGAGGAAGAAGAUGAGAAAUAGUAUAAUUUUCAUCCAAAGAGUGCAACUUUUUUUAAAGUUGUGCAACUUUUAUUCAGAAAUAUUUAAUUUUUCUUUCAAAUAGUGUAAUUUUUUUAAAAAAAUAGUGCAACAUUCCUCUGAAAUAGUGUAACUUUAUCAUCUUCUUUUUAAUUUUCUAUCUGAUUCUUUAUUUUUCUUGUAAUUUCUUUUCUCCCUCUCCGACCCUUAUCCUGUCAUCUACCACCUCGUGGCCCUCGGCGAUGGUAACGACGAUGGCGCCACAUCCUCUUCCUCUUUCUCUAUCUCCUCCUCCGCCAGCGCCAGCGCCAGCGACCCUCGACGACGAUAACGAGGGCAACGUCACCUCCUCCACCUCCGCCUCCGCCUCCGCCUUCGCCUCCGUCUCCUCCUCCGCCGGUGCCGGAGAAGGAGAAAGAGAACUUGAAACGGAUCCGGAUGAGAAUGACCAUUAUAUAUCAUUGCUCCUAUCAAAAAAUGAUAUAUAAUUAUUUUUUAAAAAAAAAAAUUCUUCAUUUUUUUUACUAAGCAUUUGAAUUAUCUUCUUUUGUUCAGCUGUGAUAGAACGAUGAGACCGAAGUGAAUGAGUUUUGGAGGGACUUACAAGUAAUCAUGAUUAUAUUCCUUCACAAAUGUAACCACUUCUUACUUUUCAUUAUUUGUCAUUUUUACUUUAAGAUGUAUCUUGCAACACUACAACAAAAAAGGGAUAUAGCAGCACUUUUAUAUGUCGCUAAAACAUCAAAAAAGUGCUGCAGUAUUUUUUACUGACACUGCCGAAAAUGUCGCUAUAUGUGGGGUCGCAGGACAUAUAGCGACACUUAAAAAAAGUGUCGGUAUAUAGAAGAAAAAAAUGCUGCAGUGAGACGACACUUUUUCUUACAUAUUCCAGCAAAUUAAAAGUGCCGGUAUAAGAUUCUUCCGACACUUUUAGUGCUGUAAAGAGAAAAAAAAAAGGGAUAUAUUUUAGACAAUUCCGACCUUUAUUUUAUAUUUAUAGCGACACUUUAUUAUAAUUUAACAACAAUCAGACAAAUAAUGCAAUUAUUUUUACCAUCACUUUUUUACUACUUAGCGACACUUUUUAAAAAUAUUAUAUUCUUAAUAUAUAAUAAUUUUAUUAUUUAAUUUUUAUCAUAUACUAUUAUUUAUCAUCCAUUCAUUAUAUUAUUCAUUAAUGAUUCAUCCAACAAAAAUUAUUUACCAUAAUCUUUUCAACACAUCAUCAAAAAAAUAUACAAAUAAGAAACAUAUCAUUCAUAUUAAGAAGAAAAAGUUAUUGUUAUACAUUUCAUCAGUUGAUGUUAAUAUUAUAGACAAACAACAUAGUCCGAAAAAACCCAAACAACAUUGUGCAAAAAUAUCCAAAAAACUAAAAAUGAUAUAUAAAAUUCUAUGCCUAAGCAAAUACUCAAAAUGUUAUCCCAUGAGGGCGACUUUGUCUCAAAAUACUCAAAAUACUCAAUACGUUCUAUGUCUUUUAAAGAAAGGCAACGAGGACGACUUUGUCUCUUUAUUUCUGCAGCAUAUUCCCUACGUGAGAAUAAUGUAAUCAACAAGUUUCUAUAAAUACAAAGUACCAAAAAUAGUCAAAAUAGAUUACUAGUUAACUCUAAUACUAACUUUAGAAAUGGUGCAACAUCUGGACAGUUGAAAAGAACAUAUCGAUAUGCUUGAACUUUGGACAGACUGUCUAGUAUAUAUCGACUAGGCUUUCCUAAUGGUCGACCCACUCGAGGAAAUAAAGAAUGUCCUUGCUCCAUAUUAGAACUUCCAGAUGCUUCAAUAUUGUCAUCAUUUCAUGAAGAUCGAUUAAGUUUUGUCUCAAAACCUUUUAUAUACUGAGAACAAAAAGUCAUGCACUCUUGCGCUAAGUAAGAUUCUGCAAUAGAACCCUCUGGAUAUGCUCGAUUACGUACAAAAGACUUCAAAGUCGAAAGAUACCUAGCCAACAUGAUAAAUAAGAAGUUUUAGGAUAAAAUUAAUUUACUAAAUAAUAUACGAAUAACUAAACAAUUAACAAUAGAAAAUGAUACCUUUCAAUUGGAUACAUCCAUCUAUAAUGAACCGGUCCUGCAAUUCUAGCCUUGCUCGCCAAGUGAAUAACCAAAUGAACCAUUACAGUGAAAAAACCAGGUGGAAAAAUCAUUUCCAAGUGGCGUAAUGUUAAUCUAAUCCUAGCAUCAAGUUGCUCAAGAUCCUGAACUUGAAGAACUUUUGAGCACAAUUCUCUAAAAUAGCCACAUAAAUCAAAUAAAGGAGCUGUCACAUUCUUUGAGAGAAACUCUCGUAACGAAAUUGGAAGUGGUUGUUGCAUUAGUAUAUGACAGUCAUAACUUUUGAGUCCAAACAUUUUACCUUUUGUGACAUUUACACUUCUUGAGAUAUUUCCAGCAUAACCAUCAGGAACUUUAAUGUUUUUCAGAAAUGUAUAAAAUAUUUUCUUCUCAUCUCUAGACAUUGCAUAACAAGCAGGAGGAAGAUACAAGCUGUUUGAAACCCUAUUUUCUGGUUGAAGUUCAGCCCUUAUAUUCAAAUCUUGUAAGUCUAGAUGAGCAUUUAGAUUAUCCUUCGACUUUCCUUCGAUAUUUGCUAAUGUUCCAUACACAUUUUCAAAAACAUUCUUUUCUAUAUGCAUGACAUCUGGAUUAUGCCGCAAUAAAUUAGAUUUCCAGUAAGGCAAUGUGAAAAAUAUGCUCUUCUUUUUCCAAGUUUGUGAGUUUUCAAAAUUAUUAAUUUCUUCCAAUUGAUCUAACACCGUAGUCCCAGAAGGUCUGCUUGGUGUAGUUCGAAACUCUCCAGUUCCAUCAAAAGAGACUUUGUCAUAACGAAAUUUAUGAUUUGGCUCUAGAGAACGAUGAUGUCCCAUAAAAUAGUACUUUCGACCAUAUUUUAGACGUCGUGAACAAGUCUCUACAUUACAACAAGGACAAGCAAACCCAACAUGAACAUUCCACCUUGACAAAAUUCCAUAUGCCGGCAAAUCAUUUAUAGUCCACAUUAAUGCUGCUUUUAACAUGAAAGAUUCGUCACGAGAAGCAUCAUAUGUGUCUAUGCCAACUUCCCAAAGCUCCUUCAACUCAUCAAUAAGAGGUUGUAAGUACACAUCAAUCUGAUUUUCUGGUCCGCUUGGCCCAGGUAUAAGUAACGAAAGAAUGAAAGAAGAUUCUUUCAUACAAAGCCAAGGAGGUCAAUUAUAUAGUAUUAGAAUAACAGGCCAGCAGCUAUAGGUAGAGCUCAACAUUCCAAAAGGAUUAAAUUCAUCACUAGCUAAUCCAAAUCUAACGUUACAAGAGUCUAAAGAAAAGUCAGAAUGUUUGGAGUCAAAACUUUUCCAUGCUUCAGAGUCAGCCGGAUGCCUCAACGCUUCGUCCUUUGUUCGUUCUUCUUCACGCCAUCUCAUUAAUGUUGCUGUCUGCUUAGACAUAAACAACCGUUUAAGUCUAGGCUUUAAAGGGAAGUAGCGUAAAACUUUUGUCGGAAUUUCUUUUUUCUUUCUUCUUGUUGAACUAGAAUGGCCUCUAAUCGUUCUCCACCUAGAAGCCCCACAAAUAGAGCCACUAUCAUCAUUGGCCUUAUCCUUCCAAUACAAUUGACAAUUGUUCUGACAAGCAUGAAUUUUUUCAUAUCCAAGCCCUAAAGUUUUUAUAACUUUUUUGGCCUCGCCGAAUGUUUUUGGCAAGCAUUUUCCAUUAGGGAUUGCAAGUUGUAAUAUUCCUAACAAAUCAUUAAAUGAUUUAUUACUCCAUUUGUUAGUGCAUUUUGUAUGAAAUAAAAGCACAAUUAAAGAAAGCUUUGUCAAUUCGCAUCCUGGCCACAAAUUUUGGUCGGCAUCUCUAAGCAAACUAAAGAAGUUUUCAGCUUCAGAAUUCAAUCCAUUUACUUGGGAAUCAGAUGCAUUUGUUAAAUGACUCAUAGAUUCUUCACUAUCUCUAACUCCAAACAUAUCAUGUAUCAUUUGAUGCAUAUUAACAUGCAUAGUAGAGUCAUCAUCUAAUUGAUGUGCACCAGUGUGAAAAUUUUGUGCAAUUGAUUUUCUAUGAAAAAUCCAAUCUCGAUAACCACGAAGCAUUCCAUCACACACCAAAUGGUCGUACACAUCUUUUCUACUUAAAGUUGUUCUAUUAAUGCACUUCACACUUGGGCAACGAAUCUUUCUAUCAGAAGAUGGAUUCAAAAAUGCAAAAUCAAGAAACCUAUUUACUCCUGCCAAGUAUUGAAAGCUUUCUCUUGGCCAAUCCAAAUUAUCUUUAAUAGUUUUUAGAUCCAUAAAUUGCUACAACUAAUAUAAGAAUUGACUUUAACAAAAUAUAAUACAAACAUAUCAAUGAGAAAUUGCUAUAUAAAGCUAUUAGCAUAUUAUAGGAAAAAAUAAAUUAAGAACAAAACAAAUGUGAUAGCUAGACGGCAUUACAAUUACUAAAAUUAAGGAUAUAAGUUUUCCAAGCUUUUACAAACAAAAAUAACACAAGUUUGUAAUAAAACUAUAUCACAUGAGGAGUUAUCAAGUACACAAAUUUUGUAUAUAAUAGAACAAAUCAUAAAGUAAAACUAAAAAGUUACUUGGUUGCUAUAAUAGACAAGAACUCGAAGAAGGUUGAUUUACUUCUCAACAUGAACGAACAUUUGUUGUCAGUAUUAAAUAUAAUACUAUUGCUUUGUAUUUUACUCUUUUACAUGUCAUUAGAUAGUAGAUAUUCUAAAAUUACUCUUGAUUUUAUAAUAUUCUAACAUUACAAGUGCGAAAAAUAAAAAAACUAGUAUAAGAGAGAGAAAAAAAAUACUAAAUAGAGUAUCUAAAGAGGAAAAACAUUAUUAAAAAUAAAUAAAAUUAUAAAAGCAAACAAAGAAAGAAAAUAAAUAAUACUAGUUUAAGAUCUAGUAGGUAAAAAUUAAGGGAAGUCCUUGAACUAUAGGACAUUUUGAAGUGUCCUGCCUCCCAACACUCUCUGUUUCAUUCAAUGGCAGUUUCUUAACUUUGAAUUUUUAAACUUGAAUUAAUUUGAAAAAUAAGUUAGAAACUUGAACAAUUAUUCUAUGAUUCAUAAAAUUUAAUUUUUUUUUAAUAACUAUUUAACAAAUGAAUUCGCAAAUAUAAAUAGACUACAGCUAAAGAAGACAUCAUGUUUUAGCAAGUGGAGCCUUAACAUACGCCAGAAUCAUAUUAAAAAAACAAAACUUAAUUCACUUAACUACAGUAAUUUAAAUUAAAAUAAAGUAAAAUUGUCUAAGUCUCAAUCAAACAAAAUGCUCAAGUUCUCAUUUUGAAAUUCUCUAUAGGGUGAAGGCUGGGUCUUUGCAUAAUUAUACAUUUUCUAAACUAUACAAUUUUGAGACAAGUUUGCAAUAACAUAAUGCUUAGGGACCACCUCUUAACACCUUUUGCAUAUUUAAAAAAAUAAAAAAUUGAGUGAAUCUUCUACCACCAAUAGUUUCUUAGAAUCUUGUGGAAACCUUAUACUAAUUGAAAACUAUGCUUUCUCUGCUAUAAUGUCUUUUGUACUAUUAAAAAAGCUUACCAAAAUAAAAUAUAAUAUACUCUUUAGAUAAUUUUAAUAAACUGUGAUAUAGCCUUCGUUAAUGAUCUUUCUAAAAAAAAAUUUAGACACAAACCCACAUGAAAUUUUUUAAAAAAACAAACAUAAAGUACAAAAACAAUUAAAAUAUCAAAUCAACUAAUCACUACACUCCCACCUAUGCCAUUACAAAAACCCUGAAGCUCUAACAAAAACCCUAAAGCUAUAAAAUAAAACUUAAUUGAUAGUGGAACAAAAAAUGGUACAAAAAUCCUAAAGCUCUAAAUAAAACUUGUUAAGUAUAAAAACUCUCUAAAAAAUAUAAAACCCAUUAAAAAUCUAUGUAAAAAACUAACAUGCUAAUUUUUGAACCCUAAAUUCGAAACUCCUGUAAUUUUUUUUAAAAAAAAGGGAAUAAUACAUUUGCAAAAGAAAUUGAUGAUCCCAACUUAAAGUCGACGAGGCCUCUGCUGAAUCCAAGAUCUCCACGGAGAAGAACCUACCCGCGCGCCGACGAUCUCAACAAGGAAAUCACUUUUGAGGGGGUAAUUGUUCAGAUAUUUUCUUUUAUAAGUAGGCUUUCUUUUAUUUUUUGAAAGGACCAAAAAGCCCAAUGUGUUAAAGUAUGGUUCCAACUUAAAGUAAGGGUACAAUAGUCUUUUGAUGAAUAUAGCUGCAAUGGAGGGAAAAAAGGAGGGAAUGAAAUAAUUUAUUAUCAAACCCAAGCAACUUUUUAUAAAAAAUGCUGCAAAUAAGGUAAUCGAAAAUUCCAGCAAAUUUUCAUAAAUGCUUCUAUAAAAGUGUAGCUAAAACCUGUUUUUGUUGUAGUGCAACCUGUCGGACUGUACCACAUAAGUUUCUUACGUGUGCCUUUAUUCUCCACUCCUCGACUUUUUAGGUUUGGAAUGACCUUCUUUAGAGCAAAUAUAAUACAAUGUUAUAACCAAUUUUGUUCUUUUCUUUUUCGCUUUGUAGUAGGAAGCUUUUCUUAUACUAAUACCGAUUUUAUAUGCAUAUAUAUUAUAAAAUUUUUUCACUACCACUUCAUUCUCGAAUUCAUAUCCUCUAAAUAGCUCAUUAGUUGAUAAUUCUGUGCCACAUACAACAACACUAGAAUAAUCCUUUUCAUAUUGGUUCCUCUCAUUUGUGAAAGAAUCAAAUUCUCUAUAACAAUCUUCAUUUAUAUCAAUUAGAGAAAACUUGGAUCCAUCCCAUUAAAAGAUCUAGUAUGUAAAUCAUCUAAGCAUGGUAAAUCAUAGCAUUCUACAUUAUCCAUCUGUUCAAUCGCAUAAAGAGUAAAAUUUCAAAGUAAAUAGCAAUUUUAACAAAAUAAAAGUUGUCUACUUAUAAAACUCAUAUUUUCUCAAACUAUAUAUUCAAAGUUUCUAAAAUUCAUAAAUAAAUGAGAAAAAAAAAUAGAACCAAAUAUAAAUUUAUAAAAGAUUUUAUAUGCAACACAUACUUUUUCAAACUAAUAUUUAGAUAUUUUAGAAAAAAUAAAUAAGAAAUUAUUUUUUUGGUCGAUUAAGUAUGAAACAAUCCAUUAAAAAGAAUCAAAAAACAAAGAAAAAAAAAGAAGUAGCUAGAAACCUGUCACAGCCCGCGACCACCCGCCUAUUUGGCCGAGGUCCCGGCACCGCCGACAUCGCCGAAUGGACAGGGUUUCUCCUGUACUACGGACAGAGUCUCCCCUGUACAUUCAAGGCAUCGCAAUCAAUACAAUUCACGAAGGUUCCAACCAGGAACAGAUAUCAAUCAAGAUUGCAAGUGGAAGGUAUCAUACAACAUAAACACAUCCUAAGUUAUUACAUUCAUUCACUUUCAUAGUUUUUACAUCACAGUUUCCAUUCUUUUUCAUCCAAAUGCAAUCUAAGUUAUUACAACAUUUACUUACUACAAGUUUGAUACAUUGUAUUCUUUUCAUUUCCUUUACCCCUAAGCUAUAUAGACGGGGUACUGCUAGCUCUGGUCUCUGGGGUAGGGCGCUAUCUGCAGAACUACGCCCUCGCCUUGCGCCGCCGCGCCGCACACGUGUGUACCUGUACCCCCAAAACAGCAACACGGGGGUGAGACUAUUGUCCAUAGUCCUCAGUGGGUUUAGCCACCCAAGAGAACCAGCUCAACCAACAGGUCUAACGAGGCACUGCAACAUGUUAGUUCAACAAUAUACAACAGAUAUAUAUAUUCAAUUGAAAUACAUGUCAUGCCUCACGAAAUGCAAUAUGCAAUACCUGUAAUCAUGCAAGUAGGUUACUUUAACGCUACUUAUAUUCUUAAUCAUUCUUUACUCUUGUCAUUUAAUGUUUACUUUUAGCUCUUAGCUAUUCUUUACUUGUAACCUUUCUUUACUUAUCAGCUAUUCUUAUUCCUUAGCCGAUCUUUAUUCUUUACUUAUUCUUUAUUCUUUACACUUUGUCGCACUUUUCCACUGGCCAUUCUUUCCUAAGGUUUCUCUUACCUUAGUUCUCUAAGCCACCCGACUCGGUCUUGAGUCAAUCAAUCGCGGAUAGUCCGCGCACUGUCUAGCUCGAGGUGAAGGAACUCUCACAUGCACCUCAGCUGGCAACAGCUCACCGUACUCCUGUCCUAGCCGUCUGGCGGCGAACGAAUCGCACCUCACCCAACAACGGCCUAGGUCCAUGACUUAGCCACCCGGCGGCGAAAUCGUCGCACAAACGCCACGACAGUGGUUCAGUCAACAGGCGGUAGGAUCCACAAACUGGCUAACCAUCCGGCGGCGAAAUCGUCGCACACGCCACGACAAUGGUUCUUUAGCCCUUGGGCGGCGAAAUCGUCGCACACACCCGACACCACUUUGGGUGUAUCCUUUUAGCCUUGGGAUUCCGGAAUCCAUUUCACAUCACAUAGGGGUUGGUCUUAACCCUAUGGAACUGACCUCUCUAGGUCUAAGCCUUUACUCAACCUAAGUUCACCCAUUAGGUUUAUUGCUUUCACAUUCUUAACCUAGGUUUAUUACACUAGGAUCAUUAUUCUUUCCAACCUAGGUUCACUUGACUCUAGGUUAAGUACUUUUCAUUUCACGACCUAUGUUUAUUAACACUAGGUUAGAUGCCACUCGAUCUAUUUGAUUCUAGGUCUACUCACGACCUAUGUUCCUUAACACUAAGUUAGAUGCCACUCGAUCUAAUUCACAUACUAAUUGUCCAAUUAAGCAUUCUACUCAUUCUAGAGUUAUCAAUUCUCAUUUUCCAAUGUUAUCUCUCUAAUCAAGCUAGAGUUAUCAACCAAGUUCAUAUGCAUAUAUAAUCUCACAAUGCUAAGCAUGCAUCUAUGAUCUCAUAAUGCUAAUCAUGCGUUUAUAAUCUCAUAUAUCAUUUAUAUGCAUCUACUUAGCAUUUACAUCAUACUAUAAACAUGCAUCAUAUAACUUGCUCAUUAUGCAUUCUAGCAUUUCUACAUUACAUUAUUUAGCAUUAUGUAACUUGCUCAUAAUGCAUUCUAUUUAGCAUUUACAUCAUACUAUCAACAUGCAUUAUUUAGCUACAUGCAUCAUUUACAUGCUUCAUUUACAUUUAUAUGCAUCAACAUGGAUUCUUAGUUUCUUAGACAUAAAGGCGACCUAGUCGCUUCGGUAAACACAACCCACCUUAAUUCGCGUUCCGAUUGCUUGUCGACACUUGCAAUCGGCCUCCCGCGGCACCCGUAUCCGGCACGGCCCGAUACUGCAACUGCGCCUCAACCGUGCUCCGCUUCGCAGCCCCGAAAAUUAUAGGUCUUCGGUUAUGUGCCACGAUGCCUCAAAUCCAUUUCCAUGAUUUUACGACGUCGCCUCGGCCCUCCCGGCGGACCCGAAGCCUAAACGUCUAUUUCUUUAAUAACUUUGUAACAGCUCGUCGGAUUGCCGAACCGUCUUCGCCAACGCGUUUCGUUACCUAGCAAUUAGGUUUACGAAGGGUCAAAUGAGAUCAAACCCUCAUAUUUUGAAAGUUUGCAUUUUGGAGCCCUAGGUUACAACUAUGCAAGAAAUCACUAAAUUGAUCCAUGAUUCAAGCAUUAAUCAUCUAGAUAGCAUGCUAGGACUCCUCUAAAUCCAUUUAUAAGGUAUUUAAACCAAGCAUUAAAGAUCUACCAUUAAAGGGCUCAAGAAGCUCACCUCAAAAUGAGCUCCAAACCAUGGAGAAGAUGAAGAAGACGAAGGCGAUCCACCUCCAAGCUUCAAUCUCCACCAAAUCCAUUCUUUUUGGGAGAGAUUUAGAGAGAGAAAGAGAGGCUUCUCUCUUCCCUUCCAUGCGCGUGUGUGUGUGUGCGGUUUGGGCUGCUACGGCUGGGAGGAAGAAGAAGCAAAAGGGAUUUAAUCCCAUUUUACCAUUUUGCCCCUCAACUACACACUAUUCACUACGGGCAGCCUGAAAUCUGAUAAAUUUCGUUGGAGCCCUUCCGGAUGUCCGUUUUCGCUCAAAUUUGACAGGCAGGCUCAGUUUAACGUACUGAGCAAGAAUAUAUCUUAAGUUUUCAGUUUCGACCCCGUUUGGUCACCGAAAACUGUGCCGAACUGCAAUCUUUAUCAGAUAGCUUUCGGAUUUUAUUUCUCACUCUACGGGUGUCAGAAAAAUAUGAAACUUUAAAUCUAGUCUCAUAAAAAUAUUUCUGACAUCCCCGCUAAUUUUCAUAAUUUUCUGAGACUGUGCAUUUUCUGCUAAUUUAUCAGUCCCGUUUCCAACAGAAAAUUCUAAAUCUUCUGUUUUCGCUCCGAUUUCAGCACAGGUCGUUCCCAACC